AGUCAACAUUCAGUCAGAAGAAGGGACUCUAAAACCUGUAGAGGAAUCAGGGAUCCCCUUGGAUACAACUCUUGACCCUGAGAAUCUUCCUAAAAACGAGGACCCGGAGAUGGAUACGUCCCUAGAUAAUGAAGUGUUGGCUAUACUCAGCAAGGAUCUCCAAACUCCCACAGCUUGCCAAAGCACAAGGGCAUCCAGCUGGGACUCGUCAGGGAAGCUCCUGGAAAGCGAGCAGGACUCUAUUACCCCGUGAGUACUGCCAGCAGCACAGGAAGCCCCCUGAGACCAGCUAGUCGACGAUACGG